rnacentral:rRNA from 1 species
UACGUAGGGUGCAAGCGUUGUCCGGAAUUAUUGGGCGUAAAGAGCUCGUAGGCGGUCUGUUGCGUCGGCUGUGAAAACCCGGGGCUCAACCCCGGGCCUGCAGCCGAUACGGGCAGACUAGAGGUAGGCAGGGGAGAGCGGAACUCCUGGUGUAGCGGUGGAAUGCGCAGAUAUCAGGAAGAACACCGGUGGCGAAGGCGGCUCUCUGGGCCUUACCUGACGCUGAGGAGCGAAAGCGUGGGGAGCAAACAGG